rnacentral:rRNA from 1 species
UAGCAUAUCAAUAAGCGGAGGAAAAGAAACCAACAGGGAUUGCCUCAGUAACGGCGAGUGAAGCGGCAACAGCUCAAAUUUGAAAUCUGGCCCCCUCGGGGUCCGAGUUGUAAUUUGGAGAGGAUGCUUCGGGUGUGGCCCCGGUCUAAGUUCCUUGGAACAGGACGUCACAGAGGGUGAGAAUCCCGUACGUGCCCGGUGGCCGCCCCCGUGUGAAGCUCCUUCGACGAGUCGAGUUGUUUGGGAAUGCAGCUCAAAAUGGGUGGUAAAUUUCAUCUAAAGCUAAAUAUUGGCCAGAGACCGAUAGCGCACAAGUAGAGUGAUCGAAAGAUGAAAAGCACUUUGGAAAGAGAGUUAAACAGUACGUGAAAUUGUUGAAAGGGAAGCGCUGGCAACCAGACUUGCGCGGGGUCGAUCAUCCGGUGUUCGCACCGGUGCACUCGGCCCCGUGCAGGCCAGCAUCGGUCUGGGCGGCUGGAUAAAGGCCUUGGGAAUGUGGCUCUCUUCGGGGAGUGUUAUAGCCCAAGGUGCAAUGCAGCCCGCCUGGACCGAGGACCGCGCUCCGGCUAGGAUGCUGGCGUAAUGGUUGUCAGCGACCCGUCUUGAAACACGGACCAAGGAGUCUAACAUCUAUGCGAGUGUUUGGGUGUCAAACCCAUACGCGUAAUGAAAGUGAACGGAGGUGAGAACCCUUAAGGGUGCAUCAUCGACCGAUCCUGAUGUCUUCGGAUGGAUUUGAGUAAGAGCAUAGCUGUUGGGACCCGAAAGAUGGUGAACUAUGCCUGAAUAGGGUGAAGCCAGAGGAAACUCUGGUGGAGGCUCGCAGCGGUUCUGACGUGCAAAUCGAUCGUCAAAUUUGGGCAUAGGGGCGAAAGACUAAUCGAACCAUCUAGUAGCUGGUUCCUGCCG